rnacentral:lncRNA from 1 species
UAAUUUAACGAAAUAUUAACGAAAAAGCUUCCGAAAAGAUAAAAAUGAAACCACAGGGGGGUAAAUUGAUACGUUUUAAACCACAGGGUAGCAAAGUGAGAAUGCACGAAACCACAGGGGGGGUUUUUGAAGUUUUCCCUAAAUUCUAUGAAACAAUUGUUAUUCUCCAAUAGCUUAAGCAACCAGAUAACUCUAUUUUCAAUACUUAUAUUCAGCACUACCCUCACGUCUGGGCUUGAGACAGUUUGAUAAGCCCAUGACGUAAUAUUUAUAUUCAACACUGCCUCUCACGUCUGGAGUUGUUUUCCAUAUUUAUACUCAACACUUCCCUCAUGUCUGGACUUGAGACUGUGUUAUAAGCCCAUGAUGUAAUAUUUAUAUUCAGCACUCCCCUCACAUCUGGGCUUAUUUUUAAUAUUUAUAUUUGAUACUUUUCCUCAUUUCUGGGCUCAUAAAGUUUGAUAGGCCUAUAACGUGGACUUACUUUAAAUGAGAAGAAAUUAAAUAUGACUAGCAGCUUGUUGAAAUUUAAACUUAAGACCUCCUUUUCUGACAGCAUGUUAAAUUAUAUGAAACAAUUGUUAUUUUUCAAUAACUUAACGUAGUCAGUAAAUAAUGUUUAUACUACUUAUAUUCAACACAUAAAAU